rnacentral:rRNA from 1 species
GACGAACGCUGGCGGCGUGCUUAACACAUGCAAGUCGAACGAUGAAGCCGGAGCUUGCUCUGGUGAAUUAGUGGCGAACGGGUGAGUAACACGUGAGUAACCUGCCCUUGACUCUGGGAUAACUGCGGGAAACUGUAGCUAAUACCGGAUACGACCCUCGGAGGCAUCUCCUGGGGGUGGCAAGAAUUUCGGUAAAGGAUGGACUCGCGGCCUAGCAGCUAGUUGGUGAGGUAAAGGCUCACCAAGGCGACGACGGGUAGCCGGCCUGAGAGGGUGACCGGCCACACUGGGACUGAGACACGGCCCAGACUCCUACGGGAGGCAGCAGUGGGGAAUAUUGCACAAUGGGCGCAAGCCUGAUGCAGCAACGCCGCGUGAGGGAUGACGGCCUUCGGGUUGUAAACCUCUUUUAGCAGGGAAGAAGCGAAAGUGACGGUACCUGCAGAAAAAGCACCGGCUAACUACGUGCCAGCAGCCGCCGCAG